rnacentral:lncRNA from 1 species
AUGUUGUUUUUUAAAGUCACAAUGUUUAUAGCAAUUUGCUACAGAUCAGCAGAAAAGAUUUUAAAAAUCACAACACCAAACACCACCGUCAUUAUUCAAACACUGGAUUUUUCUGUCUCUAAUGGAGAUAAUUUCUGUACAAAGCUGCCCUUCUUCCCAACUGCCCCACAGACACACCCCACGCUACGCUUGAGUUGCCACAAACGAACGACCUGGCUUCCUCUGAGAUAUCACUGUGAACAGGAAGAAGAUAAAGCGGUGUGAGCUGGAUCUCGAGCCAGACCCAGGACACCUUAGCACGUGCUUUGGGCUCCCAAGGUGACAUCCGCUGCAGAUUGCUUCCCUGAACCCAGCAGGGGCCGAAGAGUCUGUUUGGUUUAUUCUCUUUUCUCCACCUUCCUUACAGAAAACCUGUUCCUCUUCAUUUUAGUACUCACAGUAAGAUGGAAGGGAGAGUGUUUAAACUUGACUGAUGAAUUAAUCCUCUGGCAGUCCGGACCAUGCCAUAUAACAUACAAGGGUGACAAGGAACAAAGCAAACAUUAGGAAAACUUGUCUUAUCUUUUUGCUUGUCUUUUGAAAAUAAAAGCAUAAAGGAAGAGAAGAACAAGGACUCAAUGAGGAGAAAGAGGAAGAAAGCUAGAGGAAAGAAUUCUUGAUGAGUUUAUGAAUGAUAUCUCUUUGUAACUGAAUGUCUGUGAACUUAGAUUUGUUUACUUAACUCAAGACAAAAUAAAACAUGGA